rnacentral:rRNA from 1 species
AACGAACGCUGGCGGCGUGCCUAACACAUGCAAGUCGAACGGGAUUAGGGGGCUUGCUCCUUAAUCUAGUGGCGCACGGGUGAGUAACGCGUAGAUAAUCUGCCUGAUGAUCUGGAAUAACACUUCGAAAGAGGUGCUAAUACCGGAUAAGCCCACGACGGCUUUGGUCGUUGCGGGAAAAGGGGGGGACCAUUUGGCCUUCUGUCAUCAGAUGAGUCUGCGUACCAUUAGCUGGUUGGUAGGGUAAAGGCCUACCAAGGCGACGAUGGUUAGCUGGUCUGAGAGGAUGAUCGGCCACACUGGAACUGAGAAACGGUCCAGACUCCUACGGGAGGCAGCAGUGGGGAAUUUUGCGCAAUGGGCGAAAGCCUGACGCAGCAACGCCGCGUGAGUGAUGAAGGCUUUCGGGUCGUAAAGCUCUGUCAAGGGGAAAGAAGUGUAAUGUGGCUAAUAUCCACGAUACUUGACGGUACCCCUGAAGGAAGCACCGGCUAACUCCGUGCCAGCCGCCGCGGUAACAC